CGAACGAGAAGCUAUCUUCGGAUAGUGGAAAGUGGCGCACGGGUGAGUAACGCGUGGGAACCUGCCCCGAGGUUCGGAAUAACGGCUGGAAACGGCCGCUAAUACCGGAUAAGCCCUGAGGGGGAAAGAUUUACCGCCUUGGGAGGGGCCCGCGUCCGAUUAGCUUGUUGGUGUGGUAAUGGCGCACCAAGGCUGCGAUCGGUAGCUGGUCUGAGAGGAUGAUCAGCCACACUGGGACUGAGACACGGCCCAGACUCCUACGGGAGGCAGCAGUGGGGAAUAUUGGACAAUGGGGGAAAUCCUGAUCCAGCAAUGCCGCGUGUGUGAAGAAGGCCUUAGGGUUGUAAAGCACUUUCAGUCGUGACGAUGAUGACGGUAACGACAGAAGAAGCCCCGGCUAACUCCGUGCCAGCAGCCGCGGUAAUACGGAGGGGGCAAGCGUUGUUCGGAAUUACUGGGCGUAAAGGGCGCGUAGGCGGCCAAGUCAGUCAGGCGUGAAAGCCCGGGGCUCAACCCCGGAAUUGCGCUUGAUACUGCUAGGCUAGAGAUCGGAAGAGGGUAGUGGAAUUCCCAGUGUAGAGGUGAAAUUCGUAGAUAUUGGGAAGAACACCAGUGGCGAAGGCGGCUACCUGGUCCGGAUCUGACGCUGAGGUGCGAAAGCGUGGGGAGC
rnacentral:rRNA from 1 species